rnacentral:lncRNA from 1 species
CCUCGCCCAGCGGCCGCGACGCUAUGGCGCACUGGAGUACCCUGUUCCUGGCAGUAAGUGCUUCUGGGUUCUGGCGUUGCUGCUCAGUGGGGCCCAAGUUUGCGGACCCGGGAUCUCAGGAUGCAGGCAGGGCUUAUGCCCCGCGCCGGACAGGGCGUAGGGUGGGCCUCCUCCUGCCCCUACUCGCGCGGUUUGCUCCUCAGUCUCCUUCCCUUGCUGCUUUCACGACUUUCAUUGGAGCUUUCUGGACCCUGUGCUUGACGGUGCUGUAGGUGCCGUGGGGACACACAGGCUAGUCUGAUAAGCACCCUCCGCCGGAAUCAUGCGGUGCUGUAAGGACUAACGAAGAUGAAGAUAGAAUGCAAGGUAGAAAGUGCUGGAUGCCUUUAGAAAGCUGCAGGACUGGUGCGAUGGGAGUUGAGUCAUAACCUGUCCGUCAUUAGGACUCAGGAUGCUGCUGAGGCCCUAGGCUUCUAUGGUAGAUUUGAAAACUCACCCUUGUAGAGUGAUGGUGUCCAGCCUUUGAGAGGACUCCCUUUUAAGGUAAAUUUCCAAAGAGCUCCACAAUUGUUUACAGUAUCCGGUGCCCGCCAAAUUCCAGGGAUUCAGUUACACGUGAUAUUUUACUUCAUUUUUUCUUUUUAUAGACACACGGCCUCACCAUGUUGCCCAGGGUGGUCUCAAAUUCCUGAGCUCAAGUGAUACUGCUGAGCUCAAGUGAUCCUCCCGUCUCGGCCUCCCAAAGUGCUGGGAUUACAGGCAUGAGCCACCGUGCCCGGCCAGUAUUUUAUUUUUAAUAGAUAACGGAAAUUGUUCUGAAUUCAAAAGGCACCAAAGGGCAUGUGGUGGAAAUUAAAUCUUCCUCCCGCCACUAGUUCAACACUAGAGACAAGCACAGUUACCCCGGAUACUCGA